rnacentral:rRNA from 1 species
GGUUAAGCGACUAAGCGUACACGGUGGAUGCCCUGGCAGUCAGAGGCGAUGAAGGACGUGCUAAUCUGCGAUAAGCGUCGGUAAGGUGAUAUGAACCGUUAUAACCGGCGAUUUCCGAAUGGGGAAACCCAGUGUGAUUCGUCACACUAUCAUUAACUGAAUCCAUAGGUUAAUGAGGCGAACCGGGGGAACUGAAACAUCUAAGUACCCCGAGGAAAAGAAAUCAACCGAGAUUCCCCCAGUAGCGGCGAGCGAACGGGGAGCAGCCCAGAGCCUGAAUCAGUGUGUGUGUUAGUGGAAGCGUCUGGAAAGGCGCGCGAUACAGGGUGACAGCCCCGUACACAAAAAUGCACAUGCUGUGAGCUCGAUGAGUAGGGCGGGACACGUGGUAUCCUGUCUGAAUAUGGGGGGACCAUCCUCCAAGGCUAAAUACUCCUGACUGACCGAUAGUGAACCAGUACCGUGAGGGAAAGGCGAAAAGAACCCCGGCGAGGGGAGUGAAAAAGAACCUGAAACCGUGUACGUACAAGCAGUGGGAGCACGCUUAGGCGUGUGACUGCGUACCUUUUGUAUAAUGGGUCAGCGACUUAUAUUCUGUAGCAAGGUUAACCGAAUAGGGGAGCCGAAGGGAAACCGAGUCUUAACUGGGCGUUAAGUUGCAGGGUAUAGACCCGAAACCCGGUGAUCUAGCCAUGGGCAGGUUGAAGGUUGGGUAACACUAACUGGAGGACCGAACCGACUAAUGUUGAAAAAUUAGCGGAUGACUUGUGGCUGGGGGUGAAAGGCCAAUCAAACCGGGAGAUAGCUGGUUCUCCCCGAAAGCUAUUUAGGUAGCGCCUCGUGAAUUCAUCUCCGGGGGUAGAGCACUGUUUCGGCAAGGGGGUCAUCCCGACUUACCAACCCGAUGCAAACUGCGAAUACCGGAGAAUGUUAUCACGGGAGACACACGGCGGGUGCUAACGUCCGUCGUGAAGAGGGAAACAACCCAGACCGCCAGCUAAGGUCCCAAAGUCAUGGUUAAGUGGGAAACGAUGUGGGAAGGCCCAGACAGCCAGGAUGUUGGCUUAGAAGCAGCCAUCAUUUAAAGAAAGCGUAAUAGCUCACUGGUCGAGUCGGCCUGCGCGGAAGAUGUAACGGGGCUAAACCAUGCACCGAAGCUGCGGCAGCGACGCUUAUGCGUUGUUGGGUAGGGGAGCGUUCUGUAAGCCUGCGAAGGUGUGCUGUGAGGCAUGCUGGAGGUAUCAGAAGUGCGAAUGCUGACAUAAGUAACGAUAAAGCGGGUGAAAAGCCCGCUCGCCGGAAGACCAAGGGUUCCUGUCCAACGUUAAUCGGGGCAGGGUGAGUCGACCCCUAAGGCGAGGCCGAAAGGCGUAGUCGAUGGGAAACAGGUUAAUAUUCCUGUACUUGGUGUUACUGCGAAGGGGGGACGGAGAAGGCUAUGUUGGCCGGGCGACGGUUGUCCCGGUUUAAGCGUGUAGGCUGGUUUUCCAGGCAAAUCCGGAAAAUCAAGGCUGAGGCGUGAUGACGAGGCACUACGGUGCUGAAGCAACAAAUGCCCUGCUUCCAGGAAAAGCCUCUAAGCAUCAGGUAACAUCAAAUCGUACCCCAAACCGACACAGGUGGUCAGGUAGAGAAUACCAAGGCGCUUGAGAGAACUCGGGUGAAGGAACUAGGCAAAAUGGUGCCGUAACUUCGGGAGAAGGCACGCUGAUAUGUAGG